rnacentral:rRNA from 1 species
CAGUCGCCGCGGGAAUACGAAGGGUGCAAGCGUUACUCGGAAUUACUGGGCGUAAAGCGUGCGUAGGUGGUGGUUUAAGUCCGUUGUGAAAGCCCUGGGCUCAACCUGGGAAUUGCAGUGGAUACUGGAUCACUAGAGUGUGGUAGAGGAUAGUGGAAUUUCCGGUGUAGCAGUGAAAUGCGUAGAGAUCGGAAGGAACAUCUGUGGCGAAGGCGACUAUCUGGGCCAACACUGACACUGAGGCACGAAAGCGUGGGGAGCAAACAGGAUUAGAUACCCCGGUAGUCCCUGUCUCUUAUAC